AUUGAACGCUGGCGGCAUGCUUUACACAUGCAAGUCGGACGGCAGCACAGAGAAGCUUGCUUCUUGGGUGGCGAGUGGCGAACGGGUGAGUAAUAUAUCGGAACGUACCGAGUAAUGGGGGAUAACUAAUCGAAAGAUUAGCUAAUACCGCAUAUUCCCUGAGGAGGAAAGCAGGGGACCUUCGGGCCUUGCGUUAUUCGAGCGGCCGAUAUCUGAUUAGCUAGUUGGUGGGGUAAAGGCCUACCAAGGCGACGAUCAGUAGCGGGUCUGAGAGGAUGAUCCGCCACACUGGGACUGAGACACGGCCCAGACUCCUACGGGAGGCAGCAGUGGGGAAUUUUGGACAAUGGGCGCAAGCCUGAUCCAGCCAUGCCGCGUGUCUGAAGAAGGCCUUCGGGUUGUAAAGGACUUUUGUCAGGGAAGAAAAGGCUGUUGCUAAUACCGACAGCUGAUGACGGUACCUGAAGAAUAAGCACCGGCUAACUACGUG
rnacentral:rRNA from 1 species